CCCAGCUGUAGGCAACUGCCUAGUUUGCCUUGUACCUGGGCAAGUGUUACACUGCUGGGAGAAUAGCAGCCAAUAGCUAACAGGCAUU
rnacentral:snoRNA from 1 species